rnacentral:ncRNA from 1 species
UCCAGCGAUGAGGGUUAAGUCGUAACAAGGUAUCCGUACUGGAAGGUGCGGAUGGAUCACCUCCUUU